GGACGUUUUCAUUGAUCAAGAACGAAAGUAUGGGGAUCGAAGACGAUCAGAUACCGUCGUAGUCUAUACUAUAAACGAUGAGGACUAGGGAUUUCGUGUGUCCUUUUUUGGUACACGAAGCACCUUCCGGGAAACCAAAGUUUUUGCUUUCUGGGGGGAGUAUGGUCGCAAGUCUGAAACUUAAAGGAAUUGACGGAAGGGCAUCACCGGGUGUGGAGCCUGCGGCUUAAUUUGACUCAACACGGGAAAACUUACCAGGUCCAGACAUAAUAAGGAUUGACAGAUUGAGAGCUCUUUCUUGAUUCUAUGGUUGGUGGUGCAUGGCCGUUCUUAGUUGGUGGAGUGAUCUGUCUGGUUAAUUCCGUUAACGAGCGAGACCUGGGCGUGCUAAAUAGGGUGUGUUAUUCUUGUAAUAGCAUGUUUAUGCCCUUCUUAGACGGACUGUAGGCUUUUAGUCUACGGAAGCUCCAGGCAAUAACAGGUCUGAGAUGCCCUUAGAUGUUCUGGGCCGCACGCGUGCUACACUGAACGGUUCAAUGGGUGAGGUAGUGCGAAAGCAUGACCCAAUCUCAAAAUCCGUUCGUGCUGGGGAUAGAAGCUUGCAAUUAUCCUUCUUGAACGAGGAAUACCUUGUAGGCGCGAGUCAUCAUCUCGCGCCGAAUACGUCCCUGCCCUUUGUACACACCGCCCGUCGCUCCUACCGAUUGAGUGGUCCGGUGAGGCUUUGGGAGGACUGAAUGGAUUGUGUUUCACAAACUGUUCGGGCUGAACUUAGUCAAACCUUAUCACUUAGAGGAAGGAGAAGUCGUAACAAGGUUUCCGUAGGUGACCU
rnacentral:rRNA from 1 species